ACAAAGACAAUCAUUUUUUAAAGUUGAAUGAAAUGGCAAAUAAAUAAAUAAAUACAAUAAUUCAUAAAUAAAUUAGCACACAAGUAUACUGUUUAAAUAACACAGCUAGGAUUUUAUUAAAAUCUUUCUCUUCAUAUAAUAUUUGCGAUCCACUCCCAAUCUAACUUUGAGGCAUUAGAUUAAGAUUGGCUCACUGGUCAGUUUCAGAGUUAUAGUAACCUUAUUAUGCAAUUCUCCUGCUGGGCAGCACGCUGUAGUAUAGUGGUUUGCAGCUUAUCUAGGUCAGAAUUUGAAUUCUGAUAAACAAGAUGUGCGCGUUUUCUUGUUUCCGAUUUAAAAGAAAAGACUUUUCAUCAUAUAAGCAAUAAACAUAAGUGCUGGACUAUUAACUCUACUCGCUACUAUCAGUUCCAUCUUCAUGUUUAACAUCUGAGUUGCAUUCAAAUUACCACAUUUGAAAGACCCGCCUUUGGUGAAGACAAAAUUUGUGGUGUUACACAAAUCAAGAGCUUAUAUCAGAGGAUAGACUACUUCAUUGGGAGCCUUUUCAGUGUUUGUGAUUCUGAAUAAUAGAUCCACCACUCUGCUGAUUCUGUGGUGAACAAAUGUUGUAAUGAUAUGCUUUUGCAGAAUCAUAAAUAAGCAGUGAUUUCAAUUAGUGCUGGAUUAUUCUUUAAGAAGAAUGGAUUUCUGUGAUCCUGUUCUUUUAAAAUUCAGUGAAUAGUUUAGAUAAUGUUUAAUAUUUAAAUUGUCAUCUGAUUAUAAGGAAGAUUAUUUGUUGGGAUUAUAUCUAUAUGACGUCAGGUUCAUGUGACAUAUGCGUAUAAUUUUUUUUUUAAUUUUUGGUAACUGAAAUUAUAUAUCAAAUAUUAAAGGGAUUUUUAUUGCAAAUAUCAAAGUGUUUAGU